GAACGGGCGUAGCAAUACGUCAGUGGCGGACGGGUGAGUAACACGUGGGAACAUGCCCUUCGGUACGGAACAACUCAGGGAAACUUGAGCUAAUACCGUAUGCGCCGGCAACGGGAAAGAUUUAUCGCCGAAGGAUUGGCCCGCGUCCGAUUAGCUAGUUGGUGAGGUAACGGCCCACCAAGGCACCGAUCGGUAGCUGGUUUGAGAGAACGACCAGCCACACUGGGACUGAGACACGGCCCAGACUCCUACGGGAGGCAGCAGUAGGGAAUCUUGGACAAUGGGGGAAACCCUGAUCCAGCGACGCCGCGUGUGUGAAGAAGGCCUGCGGGUUGUAAAGCACUUU
rnacentral:rRNA from 1 species